rnacentral:rRNA from 1 species
UGGGGAAUUUUGGACAAUGGGCGCAAGCCUGAUCCAGCCAUGCCGCGUGAGUGAAGAAGGCCUUCGGGUUGUAAAGCUCUUUCGGCCGGGAAGAAAUCGGGCAGGUAAAUAAUCUGUCUGGAUGACGGUACCGGAAGAAGAAGCACCGGCUAACUACGUGCCAGCAGCCGCGGUAAUACGUAGGGUGCGAGCGUUAAUCGGAAUUACUGGGCGUAAAGCGUGCGCAGGCGGCUACAUAAGACAGCUGUGAAAGCCCCGGGCUUAACCUGGGAACUGCGGUUGUGACUGUGUGGCUAGAGUGUGGCAGAGGGGGGUGGAAUUCCACGUGUAGCAGUGAAAUGCGUAGAGAUGUGGAGGAACACCGAUGGCGAAGGCAGCCCCCUGGGUCGCCACUGACGCUCAUGCACGAAAGCGUGGGGAGCAAACAGG